GGGUCAGUAGCUCAGUUGGUUAGAGCAGGGGACUCAUAAUCCCUUGGUCGUGGGUUCAAGUCCUACCUGGCCUA
rnacentral:tRNA from 1 species